GGGGCGGCAGGAUAGCCUAGUGGUUAGAGUGUAGAGGCGGCAGGGUAGCCUAGUGGUUAGAGUGUAGAGGCGGCAGGGUAGCCUAGUGGUUAGAGUGUAGGCGGCAGGGUAGCCUAGUGGUUAGAGUGUAGAGGCGGCAGGAUAGCCUAGUGGUUAGAGUGUAGAGGCGGCAGGGUAGCCUAGUGGUUAGAGUGUAGAGGCGGCAGGGUAGCCUAGUGGUUAGAGUGUAGAGGCGGCAGGGUAGCCUAGUGGUUAGAGUGUAGAGGCGGCAGGGUAGCCUAGUGGUUAGAGUGUAGAGGCGGCAGGGUAGUCUAGUGGUUAGAGUGUAGAGGCGGCAGGAUAGCCUAGUGGUUAGUGCGUUGGACUAGUAACCGAAAAGUUGCAAGUUCAUAUCCCCGAGCUGACAAGGUACAAAUCUGUCGUUCUGCCCCUGAACAGGCAGUUAACCCACUGUUCCUAGGCCGUCAUUGAAAAUAAGAAUUUG
ensembl:lncRNA